rnacentral:rRNA from 1 species
CGAGGACGAACGCUGGCGGCGUGCCUAAUACAUGCAAGUGGAACGCAUGAUUGAUACCGUAGCUUGCUACACCAUUAAUCAUGAGUCGCGAACGGGUGAGUAACGCGUAGGUAACCUGCCUACUAGCGGGGGAUAACUAUUGGAAACGAUAGCUAAUACCGCAUAAGAGUUUUUAACGCAUGUUAGAAAUUUAAAAGGAGCAAAUGCUUCACUAGUAGAUGGACCUGCGUUGUAUUAGCUAGUUGGUAAGGUAACGGCUUACCAAGGCGACGAUACAUAGCCGACCUGAGAGGGUGAUCGGCCACACUGGGACUGAGACACGGCCCAGACUCCUACGGGAGGCAGCAGUAGGGAAUCUUCGGCAAGUGGGGGGAACCCUGACCGAGCAACGCCGCGUGAGUAGAAGAAGGUUUUCGGAUCGUAAAGCUCUGUUGUAAGAGAAGAACGUUGAGUAGAGUGGAAAGUUACUCAAGUGACGGUGUCUUACCAGAAAGGGACGGCUAACUACGUGCCAGCCGCAGC